rnacentral:rRNA from 1 species
GAUAAACGUUGGCGGCGUGCCUAAUGCAUGCAAGUCGCACGGAGCUUCGGCUCAGUGGCGGACGGGUGAGUAACACGUAGGAACCUGCCCGGAAGUGGGGGAUAACUCCUCGAAAGAGGAGCUAAUACCGCAUACGGUCUACGGACCAAAGCAGUAAUGCGCUUCCGGAGGGGCCUGCGGCGGAUUAGCUUGUUGGUGGGGUAACGGCCUACCAAGGCGACGAUCCGUAGCUGGUCUGAGAGGACGGUCAGCCACACUGGGACUGAGAUACGGCCCUGACUCCUACGGGAGGCAGCAGCAAGGAAUUUUCCGCAAUGGGCGCAAGCCUGACGGAGCAACGCCGCGUGGGGGAAGAAGGCUCUAGGGUUGUAAACCCCUUUUGCGAGGGAAGAAGAUCUGACGGUACCUCGCGAAUAAGCCACGGCUAACUACGUGCCAGCAGCCGCGGUAAUACGUAGGUGGCAAGCGUUGUCCGGAUUCACUGGGCGUAAAGCGCGCGCAGGCGGUUCGCUAAGUUCGAGGUAAAAGCUCCCGGCUCAACUGGGAGAAGCCCUUGGAUACUGCCAGCCUUGAGACACCUAGAGGAGAGUGGAAUUCCCGGUGUAGUGGUGGAAUGCGUAGAUAUCGGGAGGAACACCAGUGGCGAAAGCGGCUCUCUGGGGAUGUUCUGACGCUGAGGCGCGAAAGCGUGGGGAGCGAACCGGAUUAGAUACCCGGGUAGUCCACGCCGUAAACGAUGAGUACUAGCUGUCGGGGGUGUCGACUCCCUCGGUAGCGCAGCUAACGCGUUAAGUACUCCGCCUGGGGACUACGGCCGCAAGGCUAAAACUCAAAGGAAUUGACGGGGGCCCGCACAAGCAGCGGAGCGUGCGGUUUAAUUCGAAGCUACGCGAAGAACCUUACCAGGGCUUGACAUGUUAUGGACCGCCGGUGAAAGCCGGUUUCCCUUCGGGGCCGUAUCACAGAUGCUGCAUGGCUGUCGUCAGCUCGUGCCGUGCGGUGUUGGGUUAAGUCCCGCAACGAGCGCAACCCUCGUCGUGUGUUGGAUAUUUCACACGAGACUGCCCGGGGCAACCGGGAGGAAGGCGGGGAUGAUGUCAAGUCAGCAUGGCUCUUACGUCCUGGGCUACUCACACGCUACAAUGGGCAGUACAGACCGCAGCAAUACCGCGAGGUGGAGCUAAUCGGACAAAGCUGUCCUCAGUUCGGAUUGCAGGCUGCAACUCGCCUGCAUGAAGCCGGAGUUGCUAGUAACCGCAGGUCAGCCUUACUGCGGUGAAUACGUUCCCGGGCC